rnacentral:misc_RNA from 1 species
ACUUCGUUAGGUUUGAGUGGAAAUCCCUUUUUGUGGCUGGAAAAGCUUAGGCAAAAAAGAUUGGGAGCGGAAGGCGGAUAAAGC